GAACGAGAGAGUGGAGCAUCCAUGAGUACAGUGGCGUACGGGUGAGUAACACGUGGGUAAUCUACCUUUUAGUGAGGAAUAACCGAGGGAAACUUCGGCUAAUACCGCAUAAGCCUGAGAAGGGAAAGCAGAAAUGCGCUGAAAGAGGAGCCCGCGGCCGAUUAGCUAGUUGGUGAGGUAAGAGCCCACCAAGGCAGAGAUCGGUAGCCGGCCUGAGAGGGCACACGGCCACACUGGCACUGAAACACGGGCCAGACUCCUACGGGAGGCAGCAGUGGGGAAUCUUGCACAAUGGGGGAAACCCUGAUGCAGCGACGCCGCGUGAGCGAUGAAGCCCUUCGGGGUGUAAAGCUCUUUCGUCAGGGAAGAUAGUGACGGUACCGAGAGAAGAAGCCCCGGCUAACUCUGUGCCAGCAGCCGCGGUAAUACAGGGGGGGCAAGCGUUGUUCGGAAUUACUGGGCGUAAAGGGCCAGUAGGCGGCCAACUAAGUCCGACGUGAAAUCCCCAGGCUUAACCUGGGAACUGCGUCGGAUACUGGAUGGCUUGAAUUCGGGAGAGGGAUGCAGAAUUCCAGGUGUAGCGGUGAAAUGCGUAGAUAUCUGGAGGAAUACCGGUGGCGAAGGCGGCAUCCUGGACCGACAUUGACGCUGAACGGCGAAAGCUAGGGGAGNCAACGGGAUUAGAUACCCCGGUAGUCCUAGCCCUAAACGAUGAAUGCUGGGUGUGG
rnacentral:rRNA from 1 species